CAAAAUAUGAUUGCAGUCGUUUGUUUGUUUUGUUUUUUGUUUUUUGUUUUUUUUUGAUUUUUGAUUUUUUCUGCAUUUGGUUAUCUUUCUUUUCAAAGCGAGAGAAGAAAUCGGGAGAAGAAUCGAUUUUUCACAAUUUGAUUCACAACCCAUCAGUUUCCAGAUAAAAUUGAUCUGUUCAAUUCUGGGUAUUAAUCAACUGAUUUAUGAAGAGAAGACGGCGAAGAGAACGGUGGUAAGAGGGAUAGUGGGGAGGAGCAUCAGUUAUAUUUUGAGGUAUUAAUCGAUUGAUUGACUGCUUUGUGAAGUUUGCUCUGUAUUGAUAUUUGUUUUGCGAGGAGCAUCAGUUGUAUUUUGAGGCUGCAUCUUACCUUGGUUAUUACUGCGACGAUCUGCUGUUGGAUGAUGUGAUAGACAAAUCUUUGGGGUUUGACACAGCUGUAGAAGAGGCUCAACAAGCUAUUGACGCAGCACAUGUGGAAGCUGAGAGUAUAGAGAAUGAUAUUGGCGUUGUCAAGCUUAUGGGUCGCUACAGCGUGCAUGAACUGCUUUAACGUGGUUCAUAGUGAUUUACGCUACUCUAGCAAGCAAAGAUGUGGACUGCUCUUUGAUUUCGGAAUCACCAUUUUACCUAGAUGGAGAAGGUGGAUUGUUUGAGUACAUAGAGAAACGGCUCAAGGAGAGUGGUCACAUGGUGAUUGUGAUUGCAUAAGGUGCAGGACAAGAUCUAAUGUCUAAGAGCAUGGAAUCUAUGACACUUCAUUUGGAUUAAUGAUAUCACUCUAUAAGACUUUGUUUAUGUGAUGAAAAAUUAUAUCACUACUUUCUUUUGCAAUUCUCUUUUAUUAACACAUUUUUUAUAUAAAUAUUUUUUUUCAUAA